rnacentral:rRNA from 1 species
GAUGAACGCUGGCGGUCUGCUUAACACAUGCAAGUCGAACGGACCCUUCGGGUAGUGGCGGACGGGUGAGUAACGCGUGAGAAUCUGCCUUCAGGUCUGGGACGAACAGAAGGAAACUUACUGCUAAUCCGGGAGUGAGCCUUUUGGUUAAAAGAAGAAAUUAGCCUGGAGAUGAGCUCGCGUCUGAUUAGCUAGUUGGUGAGGUAAAAGACUUACCAAGGCGACGAUCAGUAGCUGGUCUGAGAGGAUGAGCAGCCACACUGGGAC